AACAAAUAAAUAUGAUACAUAAUAAAAUAAAAAUAUAGAACAAGAAGAACUUAUCGAUUUGAUGACUGAGGUAGUUGGUCUCAUAGCUAAUACCUCCAUGAUACAACAGUCACUUCUUGCUAGCACAGGUCUCAAAACCACUUUUUGAAUGCUCAUGGGAACUUAGUAUUAUAUUAUAUUUUACUAAUAUAAUUUGUUGUCUCCCUUAUCCAUACUAUUCUGUUCACUCGGCACCUCAAUAUAUAGGCAAAACAUUAUUACCUAAGAUCCCC
rnacentral:lncRNA from 1 species